rnacentral:lncRNA from 1 species
GGGUAUUGUAGUAACAUAACAAGGAAAGGAAUGUAUUGCCAUUUAAAAAAAACAACAACACUUUUUCUCGCCAGUGUGAGGCAAUGUCUAAGUCAAUAGCCAACUAGGCGACAGUCUCACGUUUUUAGUUUAAAAUUGCCUGGGAGAACAGCAUCUUUUUUUUUUUUUUUUAACAAGUCAUUCUAGAAUAUAUUCUUAUCGAAAACAGUUUCAAACAAGAAUACAAUUUUAAUUUCAAAUUCAAGGGGCGGGGGGGAUGUAUUUACGUCAGUCUCCUGAGUCACUCUGUGCCUCAGGUGGAAGACUGAAGUCAAGAUACCCUCAAGCAAGUUCUGGAACUUUGGGAGGUGCACUAGACAGGAGCAAGGAGGAAGCAAGUUCUCCUGGGGCUAAUAUCGUUGCUUCUGGGAGUUAUGUUCCACCAGGGACUUCAAGAGGGUUUGUCUAAAAUGGAGCCAUAAGUCUUGGAGAACUACCUGGAAGAAGCUCCUUUGAGCCAUGCUGAAUAACGAGGAGCAUGUCUGACCUUGGUGCCUUUUUUCCUUCUAAGUCUUGGGAUGCUCUUUCCCCAGGUGCUAGAGACUGGAGGUUUCUAUCCUCCCAAAGGUCAUAUGUUGAAACCUAUUCCCCAGUGUGAUGCUAUUUGGAGGUGGGACUUUUGGGAAGUGAUUAAGUCAUGAGGAUGAAGCCCUGGUGAAUGGGUUCAAUACCCUUAUAAAAACACCCCAGAGGAAUUCCCGUCAUGGCACAGCGGAAACGAAUCCGACUAGGAACCAUGAGGUUGCAGGUUCAAUCCCUGGCCUUGCUCAGUGGGUCAAGAAUCUGGUGGUGUUGCCUUGAGUUGUGGUGUAGGUCACAGACGUGGCUCGGAUCUGGCAUUGCUGUGGCUCUGGCGUAGGCCUGCAGCAACAGCUCCGAUUAGACCCCUAGCCUGGGAACCUCCAUAUGCCACGGGUGCAGCCCUAAAAAGACAAACAAACAAACAAAAAACCCCAGAGAGCUCCCUCACUGCUUGCUUCCUCA